UUUCCGUAGGUGAACCUGCGGAAGGAUCAUUAUUGUAUAACCGAGGUGCGAGGGCUGUCGCUGACCCGAAAGGUCGUGCACGCCCGAGUGCACUCACACACAUCCAUCUCACCCCUAUGUGCACCACCGCGUGGGUCCCCCUUUGGCUUGUUCGGAGGGGGGCUUACGUUUUCACACAAACUUUGUAUGCAGUGUAGAAUGUAUUUUUUGUUCUUGCGAUCACGCAAUCAAUACAACUUUCAACAACGGAUCUCUUGGCUCUC
rnacentral:misc_RNA from 1 species